rnacentral:rRNA from 1 species
UACGGAGGGUGCAAGCAUUAAUCGGAUUUACUGGGCGUAAAGGGCGCGUAGGCGGAAAGGAAAGUUAGUUGUGAAAGCUCGGGGCUCAACCUCGAAAACGCAUCUAAAACUCCCUUUCUAGAGGAUGGGCGGAGAAAAUGGAAUUCCACAUGUAGCGAUGAAAUGCGUAGAUAUGUGGAGGAACACCGGUGGCGAAGGCGAUUUUCUAGCUUAGACCUGACGCUGAGGCGCGAAAGCAAGGGGAGCAAACAGG